CCUAGUGGCGGACGGCUGAGUAACGCGUAGGUGACCUACCCGGAAGUGGGGAAUAACUGCCCGAAAGGGUGGCUAAUACCGCAUGUGGUCGACGGAUCGAUCCGUCGUCUAAAAGGAGAAAUCCCGCUUCCGGAGGGGCCUGCGUCCGAUUAGCUAGUUGGUGAGGUAACGGCCCACCAAGGCGACGAUCGGUAGCUGGUCUGAGAGGAUGAUCAGCCAGACUGGGACUGAGAACGGCCCAG
rnacentral:rRNA from 1 species